UAAAUAUUUGGGCUGUUGGCAGUGGCGAUUUUGGUAUGGAAAUUCUGGUGGGGCCACACAAUAUUCAUGCAAGAAAAUCUGAUGCAAUCCAAACAUAUUACCACUCUCAUACUGUCACAACAUAUACAGUGCAGAAGAGAGGAGAUCACAAGACAUUUGAUGACAAAAUCCCAGCUCAGUAAUACCAUCUUGAAUCACAUAACAAUCCGAACAGAUAGCCUAUUACCAUAUCAACACCAUCACCAAAGAACGGUGUUAAAGCUCUCCCAAAAUUAAAUACUUAAUAUUGAAACAACAACGUGACGAUAACAAAAUAAUGAAGAACCCACUGCGUAAACGGCCCACAGCCAAUACAUGACAAUCAAUAAAUCAGUCAGAAAUCCAUUUCAGCACCACAGACAGGUGAUCAGCUCCUUUGGGGAGCCUGCUUGAGGUUGUGCGUCCUCAACACACCCAUACACGCCAGCAACCCAUUACUCCAACUCCGCUACAGUUAUACAAUAUACAUAUUAUAUAAUCAACUCCACAUAAAAAUAAGUAAAUUAAGUCGCCCUCUGACACUUGUCAUGUUCAAGCAGCA